UAUAUUUUUUUAAAUUUUGCAAGGAUCCCAAAUGGAUAAAUAUUUUUGUUGGUAAAGAGUUUUGAAAAAUAAUAGUUGUUUGUGCUUUCAUGAUGCAACUUGUAAAUUAAAAUGACAGUGACUUUGACCUUUGACAGCUGCGUCAAAAUUUUGUUUUGACAUACACUGUCCAACAAGUUCUUUUGUCAUUCUUUUGUUAUGUUAAAUUGAAGAUUUUUUUUGUAAUGUAAAAGAUUUGUAGAUAUUUUGUCCUGUAAAAUCAUUUCCUGUUAAAAGUUUUUUUUGUUUGUUUAAAAAAAAACCACCGUAAAGUUUUAAAUAAAUGUUUGUGAAAGUGUAUCUAUCAUCUCAUUUCUGUAGCCUUUGGAAAAAUUUUAACAGAAAACUAAUGCAACUGUAUGAAAGUUUUAGUUCAGGAGAAAAGAAAGAAUAUGGCAUAGAAGCCAAUAAUAAGGAAAGAUGUUGUCCCAAUGUAACCCCAAAGAGGAAUCAAUGAUGAUUGUCCCCCCGAUUGGUACCCGUAAGUAAGAAAGUAUCCAGUAAGUACCCAUAGGUGAAAUAGAGGAUUUAUUUCAAACGGCGUCCCUUUUUGUUAAAUAGUAGAAAGAUCCUCUAGUCAGAGUAAGAAUCGACUUCCAGUUCGAUCCAAUGAUUAUCACUAACAGUGACUCACAGCAAAAAUGACCACAAUAUGGAAGGACUGUCAAAUUUCAAGAGUGUUAAAGAUGAGGUUGAUAAACUGCUUAAUAUUCCCAAUACUCACCUACGGAUGUGAAUCUUGGAUCCUGAGAAAUUCGGAAAGAAGACAGAUAGACGUCAGUGAAAUGUUCUGUUGGAGACGAAUGCUACGAAUUCCUUGGACCCACCAUAGGACAAAUAAUUCAAUUUUAAGAGAGCUAUAAGUUAGCCAACGACUCUCCAGUAAAGUCCAUCUCCAACAAUUAAAAUACUUUGGGCAUGGUACGAGAGCAAACACAGAAAACUAGACCAGUCGGGAUAGCAUUUGACCUUGCAUUAGGAGCUGCCCCAAAUUUUAUUUUUCUAAUCUUUAGAGAGGGUCAAUAUUAGUACAAAUUUAAAAUCUCGACUGAAUUCCGCCGUUGCGUUAGCCGCCAUCUUGAUUUGAAACGAGAACCGUUUUUGCUCAAUA